rnacentral:rRNA from 1 species
UACGGAGGAUGCAAGCGUUAUCCGGAAUCAUUGGGCGUAAAGGGUCCUGAGGUGGUUUGCCAAGUCUACUGUGAAAGAUCAGGGCUCAACCCUGAAAAUGCGGUGGAAACUAGCAGGCUAGAAUACGGUAGGGGCAGGGGGAAUUCCCGGUGUAGCGGUGAAAUGCAUAGAUAUCGGGAAGAACACCAAUGGCGAAAGCACCCUGCUGGGCCGAUAUUGACACUGACAGACGAAAGCUAGGGGAGCAAAUGGG